CAUUGGAUCCAGACUUUGAUCAUGGCUCAGGAUGAACGCUAGCUACAGGCUUAACACAUGCAAGUCGAGGGGAAACGACAUCGAAAGCUUGCUUUUGAUGGGCGUCGACCGGCGCACGGGUGAGUAACGCGUAUCCAACCUGCCCAUCACUUGGGAAUAACCUUGCGAAAGUAAGACUAAUGCCCAAUGAUAUCCCACGAAGACAUCUGAAUGGGAUUAAAGAUUUAUCGGUGAUGGAUGGGGAUGCGUCUGAUUAGCUUGUUGGCGGGGUAACGGCCCACCAAGGCGACGAUCAGUAGGGGUUCUGAGAGGAAGGUCCCCCACAUUGGAACUGAGACACGGUCCAAACUCCUACGGGAGGCAGCAGUGAGGAAUAUUGGUCAAUGGACGAGAGUCUGAACCAGCCAAGUAGCGUGCAGGAUGACGGCCCUAUGGGUUGUAAACUGCUUUUAUAAGGGAAUAAAGUGAGAGUCGUGACUCUUUUUGCAUGUACCUUAUGAAUAAGGACCGGCUAAUUCCGUGCCAGCAGCCGCGGUAAUACGGAAGGUCCGGGCGUUAUCCGGAUUUAUUGGGUUUAAAGGGAGCGUAGGCCGGAGAUUAAGCGUGUUGUGAAAUGUAGACGCUCAACGUCUGCACUGCAGCGCGAACUGGUUUCCUUGAGUACGCACAAAGUGGGCGGAAUUCGUGGUGUAGCGGUGAAAUGCUUAGAUAUCACGAAGAACUCCGAUUGCGAAGGCAGCUCACUGGAGCGCAACUGACGCUGAAGCUCGAAAGUGCGGGUAUCGAACAGGAUUAGAUACCCUGGUAGUCCGCACGGUAAACGAUGGAUGCCCGCUGUUGGUCUGAGUAGGUCAGCGGCCAAGCGAAAGCAUUAAGCAUCCCACCUGGGGAGUACGCCGGCAACGGUGCAACUCAAAUGAAUUGACGGA
rnacentral:rRNA from 2 species